rnacentral:rRNA from 1 species
AGAACGAACGCUGGCGGCGUGCCUAACACAUGCAAGUCGAGCGAGAAAGCCCGCAAGGGUGAGUAAAGCGGCGCACGGGUGCGUAACACGUGGGUAAUCUGCCCUGGAGUCCGGAAUAACUCGCCGAAAGGCGUGCUAAUGCCGGAUGAGACCACGGGGGCUUCGGCCUUCGCGGAAAAAGGUGGCCUCUGUACACAAGCUAUCACUCCAGGAUGAGCCCGCGGCCCAUCAGCUCGUUGGCGGGGUAAAAGCCCACCAAGGCUACGACGGGUAGCUGGUCUGAGAGGACGAUCAGCCACACUGGAACUGAGACACGGUCCAGACUCCUACGGGAGGCAGCAGUGGGAAUCUUGCGCAAUGGGCGAAAGCCUGACGCAGCAACGCCGCGUGUGUGACGAAGGUCUUCGGAUCGUAAAGCACUGUCGCGAGGGACGAAUAAGGGUUGGGUGAACAAUCCAGUCCGAUGACGGUACCUCGAGAGGAAGCACCGGCUAACUCUGUGCCAGCAGCCGCGGUAAUACAGAGGGUGCGAGCGUUGUUCGGAAUUAUUGGGCGUAAAGCGCGUGUAGGCGGCUCAGCAAGUCAGGUGUGAAAGCCCUCGGCUUAACCGAGGAAGUGCGCCUGAAACUACUGAGCUUGAGUACCGGAGAGGGUGGUGGAAUUCCCGGUGUAGAGGUGAAAUUCGUAAAUAUCGGGAGGAACACCAGCGGCGAAGGCGACCACCUGGACGGCUACUGACGCUGAGACGCGAAAGCGUGGGGAGCAAACAGGAUUAGAUACCCUGGUAGUCCACGCUGUAAACGAUGAGCGCUAGGUGUUGUGGGUGUUGACCCCUGCAGUGCCGAAGCUAACGCAUUAAGCGCUCCGCCUGGGGAGUACGGCCGCAAGG